GGGGGCGAAAAGGAUUCGACGGGGAUAUUGAAGCUGAUGUUGCAUGCCGAGUUGCUGCCGUCUCGUAAAACUGGCGGAACUAAAUAUAAUCGCAGACGAUUAUAACUACGCGCUCGCCGCUUGACCGCGGCUGACGCCGUUCCACCGGCCCUCGCCCACUGGGCCGGAUUCGGAGCGUCGACUUGGUGGGCUGGCCUGAAGCGGGUGUCUGAACUGCAACAGGCGAGAUUUUUUCAGACUGGCAGCGGUUUCUCCUGUUUCGGGUGAGCGCCCGCUGCGAGAUUAUGACCCGGAACUACGCAUGUAGAGACAGAAGGGGAGAAUUUCCGGACGCGGGUUCAACUCCCGCCGCCUCCACCA
rnacentral:tmRNA from 1 species